rnacentral:rRNA from 1 species
AUUGAACGCUGGCGGCAGGCCUAACACAUGCAAGUCGAGCGAGCGGCGGACGGGUGAGUAAUGCCUAGGAAUCUGCCUGGUAGUGGGGGAUAACGUCCGGAAACGGUAGCUAAUACCGCAUACCAUCGGAUGUGCCCAGAUGGGAUUAGCUUGUAGGUGAGGUAACGGCUCACCUAGGCGACGAUCCCUAGCUGGUCUGAGAGGAUGACCAGCCACACUGGAACUGAGACACGGUCCAGACUCCUACGGGAGGCAGCAGUGGGGAAUAUUGCACAAUGGGCGCAAGCCUGAUGCAGCCAUACCGCGUGGGUGAAGAAGGCCUUCGGGUUGUAAAGCCCUUUUGUUGGGAAAGCGGUACCCAAAGAAUAAGCACCGGCUAACUUCGUGCCAGCAGCCGCGGUAAUUC